UACAGAGGUCUCAAGCGUUGUUCGGAUUCAUUGGGCGUAAAGGGUGCGUAGGCGGCGCGGUAAGUCGGGUGUGAAAUCUCGGAGCUUAACUCCGAAACUGCAUUCGAUACUGCCGUGCUUGAGGACUGGAGAGGAGACUGGAAUUUACGGUGUAGCGGUGAAAUGCGUAGAUAUCGUAAGGAAGACCAGUGGCGAAAGCGGCGCACUGGACCACAACUGACGCUGAGGCGCGAAAGCGUGGGGAGCAAACAGG
rnacentral:rRNA from 1 species